rnacentral:rRNA from 1 species
UAACGCGAAGAACCUUACCAGCCCUUGACAUCCCGGUCGCGGACUCCAGAGAUGGAGUUCUUCAGUUCGGCUGGACCGGAGACAGGUGCUGCAUGGCUGUCGUCAGCUCGUGUCGUGAGAUGUUGGGUUAAGUCCCGCAACGAGCGCAACCCCCGUCCUUAGUUGCUACCAUUUAGUUGAGCACUCUAAGGAGACUGCCGGUGAUAAGCCGCGAGGAAGGUGGGGAUGACGUCAAGUCCUCAUGGCCCUUACGGGCUGGGCUACACACGUGCUACAAUGGCGGUGACAAUGGGAUGCUAAGGGGCGACCCUUCGCAAAUCUCAAAAAGCCGUCUCAGUUCGGAUUGGGCUCUGCAACUCGAGCCCAUGAAGUUGGAAUCGCUAGUAAUCGUGGAUCAGCACGCCACGGUGAAUACGUUCCCGGGUCUUGUACACACCGA